rnacentral:lncRNA from 1 species
CCCCAUGCUUGCACAAGGUUAAUAUAUCUGAACAAUAUGAAUGUGUUGUAGCGGCGGUACAAAACAAAUGUCAAAGCAGAACAGUUUCUGUGUAGGCUUUGUUGAAAGAUUUGGUGAUGUUGGAA